rnacentral:rRNA from 1 species
GAGCUCAGGCAAGGCUACCCGCUGAACUUAAGCAUAUCAAUAAGCGGAGGAAAAGAAACUAACAAGGGAUGCGCUUAGUAACGGCGAGCGAACCGCGCAAAGCCCAACUUGAAAAUCUCCCUUUGGAAGAUUGUAGUCUAUAAGAAGUACCCUUCUUGCGACGGGGCCGAGGCU